GAAUAUUGGACAAUGGGCGAAAGCCUGAUCCAGCCAUGCCGCGUGAGUGAUGAAGGCCCUAGGGUUGUAAAGCUCUUUUGUGCGGGAAGAUAAUGACGGUACCGCAAGAAUAAGCCCCGGCUAACUUCGUGCCAGCAGCCGCGGUAAUACGAAGGGGGCUAGCGUUGCUCGGAAUCACUGGGCGUAAAGGGUGCGUAGGCGGGUUCUUAAGUCAGAGGUGAAAUCCUGGAGCUCAACUCCAGAACUGCCUUUGAUACUGAGAGUCUUGAGUAUGACAGAGGUGAGUGGAACUGCGAGUGUAGAGGUGAAAUUCGUAGAUAUUCGCAAGAACACCAGUGGCGAAGGCGGCUCACUGGGUCAUUACUGACGCUGAGGCACGAAAGCGUGGGGAGCAAACAGGAUUAGAUACCCGAG
rnacentral:rRNA from 1 species